AUGCGCCGCACCGUCUCCCUUGGCGCGGGAAUGCCACCGUCCCCGCCGGUCUUCGUCACGUUGUCAGGGUUCUUCGCCUACUUCGAGCACCGCCGCCGCGCUCCUAACCUAGCCGUCGCCGCCGCUGCUAUCCCUGUAGCCGCCGCAGUCGCCCGUCCACCCCCUUACUCUUCGUCCAGCACCAGCCCGUCGCCAGCGUCGCCGUCAUCUACCCCGACCACUUCGUCUACUCCGACAACCGCGGGCGACAUCGGCCCCGUGCUGAUUGGCGCCGCAACCGUCGUCGAGUCCUUCUCUGCUGGCCUCUUCGACUUCUUCGACAUCGCGUACAGCUCGUGCAGGUCCCAGUCUACGCAUGCCCGAUGCUGGCAACACCGCCGCCUGCCUUCAUCCACGACGUGUCUGUUGGGGAACGUAGUAAUUUCAAAAAAUUUCCUACGCACAUGCAAGAUCAUGGUGAUGCAUAGCAACGAGAGGGGAGAGUGUGUCCACGUACCCUCGUAG
rnacentral:rRNA from 1 species